AUGGGAGCAGGUAUUGAUAAACAUAUUAACGAAGGUGGUGGUCCAUAUGUAUUUAAAAUUCAUGGUCAGGUUAACUAUACUGAAGAGAACCUGCUCGACUACAUUGAUCCAAACAAUGAUACACUCAUGGUCAGACUUGCAGACGACCAUCUGCUCGCCGAAUGUCGCAUCAUGCUAGGAACUGACAAGAGGGCCACUACAACCACCAACAUUCGUGAAGGAGACAUCUGUGCAUUUCGUUUCAGGAUCACUUCAAAGGGCCGCCUGGUUCUCACCGUGCACCGCCUCUAG
rnacentral:rRNA from 1 species